UGUGAGGGUUGCUGGAGGUAUCAGAAGUGCGAAUGCUGACAUAAGUAACGAUAAAGCGGGUGAAAAGCCCGCUCGCCGGAAGACCAAGGGUUCCUGUCCAACGUUAAUCGGGGCAGGGUGAGUCGACCCCUAAGGCGAGGCCGAAAGGCGUAGUCGAUGGGAAACGGGUUAAUAUUCCCGUACUUGGUGUUACUGCGAAGGGGGGACGGAGAAGGCUAUGUUGGCCGGGCGACGGUUGUCCCGGUUUAAGCGUGUAGGUGUGUGUUCCAGGUAAAUCCGGUU
rnacentral:rRNA from 1 species